AACGAACGCUGGCGGCAGGCUUAACACAUGCAAGUCGAACGCUCGUAGCAAUACGGGAGUGGCAGACGGGUGAGUAACGCGUGGGAACAUGCCCUUUGGUUCGGAACAACUCCGGGAAACUGGAGCUAAAACCGGAUAAGCCCUACGGGGGAAAGAUUUAUCGCCGAAGGAUUGGCCCGCGUCUGAUUAGCUAGUUGGUGGGGUAAUGGCCCACCAAGGCGACGAUCAGUAGCUGGUCUGAGAGGAUGAUCAGCCACACUGGGACUGAGACACGGCCCAGACUCCUACGGGUGGCUG
rnacentral:rRNA from 1 species